rnacentral:rRNA from 1 species
AUUGAACGCUGGCGGCAGGCCUAACACAUGCACGUCGAACGAGUGGCGGACGGGUGAGUAAUAUCUGGGAAACUGCCCGAUGGAGGGGGAUAACUACUGGAAACGGUGGCUAAUACAGCAUACCAUCGGAUGUGCCCAUAUGGGAUUAGCUAGUAGGUGGGGUAACGGCUCACCUAGGCGACGAUCCCUAGCUUGUCUGAGAGGAUGAAUAUGCACCAUGGGAAUGAGACCAGGUCCAGACCCCCACGGGAGGCAGCAGGUGGGAAUAAUGCACCAUGGGGCAAAGCCGUGUGAAGCCAUUCCGCGUGUAAGAAGAAGGCCCUCAGGUUGGAAAGUAACUUCAGUGAGGAGGCCUUACUCGCAGAAGAAGCCACGGCUUACUCCGUGCCAGCCACCGCGGGAAUAC